GACGAACGCUGGCGGCGUGCCUAAUACAUGCAAGUAGAACGCACAGUUUAUACCGUAGCUUGCUACACCAUAAACUGUGAGUUGCGAACGGGUGAGUAACGCGUAGGUAACCUGCCUGGUAGCGGGGGAUAACUAUUGGAAACGAUAGCUAAUACCGCAUAAUAUUGAUUAUUGCAUGAUAAUUGAUUGAAAGAUGCUAUUGCAUCACUACCAGAUGGACCUGCGUUGUAUUAGCUAGUAGGUGAGGCAACGGCUCACCUAGGCGACGAUACAUAGCCGACCUGAGAGGGUGAUCGGCCACACUGGGACUGAGACACGGCCCAGACUCCUACGGGAGGCAGCAGUAGGGAAUCUUCGGCAAUGGACGAAAGUCUGACCGAGCAACGCCGCGUGAGUGAAGAAGGUUUUCGGAUCGUAAAGCUCUGUUGUAAGAGAAGAACGGGUGUGAGAGUGGAAAGUCCACACUGUGACGGUAUCUUACCAGAAAGGGACGGCUAACUACG
rnacentral:rRNA from 1 species